AUGGAAGAGGUUGUAUAAAUUUUUUUAGCUUGAACUGAAAAUUUGUUGAGAUAUUUUUUGAAGUAGAAAGAACCAGAGUUGGCCAAGUGCGGUGGCUCAUGCUUGUAAUUUCAGCAGUUUGGGAGGCUGAGGCCAGAGGAUCACUUGAGUUCAGGAGUGCAAGACCAGCCUGGGCAAUGUAGUGAGACCCCAUCUCUACAAGAACUAAAACAUUAGCUGGGCAUGAUGGCAUAUGCCUGUGGUCCUAGCUACUCAGGACUCUGAGGUGGGAGGAUUGCAUGAGCCUGGAGUGUGAGGCUGUAGUGAGUUGUGAUCACACCACCACACUCCAGCCAGGGUGACAGCAAGAACCCUUCUCAAAAGAAAAAGAAAGAACCACAGUUUGUCAUUUACUACUAAUUUGCUUCUUUAGCCCGUAGCUGGCUUCCUUUCCCCUUUUGACCGGGAACAAACCUUUGAUUCACAGCUUGAGAAAGUCCACAGUCUUUUCCGGCGACAGUUGGCGAUCCCACUCUAUGAUAUGGAGGCCACAUUUGCAGAGUAUGAAGAAUGGUCAGAA
rnacentral:sRNA from 1 species